AAGUCGUAACAAGGUCUCCGUAGGUGAACCUGCGGAGGGAUCAUUACAAGAACGCCCGGGCUUCGGCCUGGUUAUUCAUAACCCUUUGUUGUCCGACUCUGUUGCCUCCGGGGCGACCCUGCCUUCGGGCGGGGGGCUCCGGGUGGACACUUCAAACUCUUGCGUAACUUUGCAGUCUGAGUAAACUUAAUUAAUAAAUUAAAACUUUUAACAACGGAUCUCUUGGUUCUGGCAUCGAUGAAGAACGCAGCGAAAUGCGAUAAGUAAUGUGAAUUGCAGAAUUCAGUGAAUCAUCGAAUCUUUGAACGCACAUUGCGCCCCCUGGUAUUCCGGGGGGCAUGCCUGUUCGAGCGUCAUUUCACCACUCAAGCCUCGCUUGGUAUUGGGCAACGCGGUCCGCCGCGUGCCUCAAAUCGUCCGGCUGGGUCUUCUGUCCCCUAAGCGUUGUGGAAACUAUUCGCUAAAGGGUGUUCGGGAGGCUACGCCGUAAAACAACCCCAUUUCUAAGGUUGACCUCGGAUCAGGUAGGGAUACCCGCUGAACUUAA
rnacentral:rRNA from 1 species